rnacentral:rRNA from 1 species
CAAUAGCGUAUAUUAAAGUUGUUGCGGUUAAAAAGCUCGUAGUUGGAUUUCUGCUGAGGACGAUCGGUCCGCCCUCUGGGUGAGUAUCUGGCUCGGCCUUGGCAUCUUCUUGGAGAACGUUACUGCACUUGACUGUGUGGUGCGGUAUCCAGGACUUUUACUUUGAGGAAAUUAGAGUGUUUCAAGCAGGCGCACGCCUUGAAUACAUUAGCAUGGAAUAAUAAGAUAGGACCUUGGUUCUAUUUUGUUGGUUUCUAGAGCUGAGGUAAUGAUUAAUAGGGAUAGUUGGGGGCAUUCGUACUUAACAGUCAGAGGUGAAAUUCUUGGAUUUGUUAAAGACGGACUACUGCGAAAGCAUUUGCCAAGGAUGUUUUCAUUGA